rnacentral:rRNA from 1 species
AUGACUAUAAGGAACCAACGAUUCUCUCUUCUUAAACAACCUAUAUACUCCACACUUAACCAGCAUUUGAUAGAUUAUCCAACCCCGAGCAAUCUUAGUUAUUGGUGGGGGUUCAGUUCAUUAGCAGGUAUUUGUUUAGUCAUUCAGAUAGUGACUGGCGUUUUUUUAGCUAUGCAUCACACACCUCAUGUGGAUCUAGCUUUCAACAGCGUAGAACACAUUAUGAGAGAUGUUGAAGGGGGCUGGUUGCUCCAUUAUAUGCAUGCUAAUGGGGCAAGUAUGUUUCUCAUUGUGGUUCACCUUCAUAUUUUUCGUGGUCUAUAUCAUGCGAGUUAUAGCAGUCCUAGGGAAUUUGUUCGGUGUCUCGGAGUUGUCUUAUUCAUAUUAAUGAUUGUGACAACUUUUAUAGGAUACGUACCACCUUGGGGUCAGAUGAGCUUUUGGGGAGCAACGGUAAUUACAAGCUUAGCUAGCGCCAUACUAGUAGUAGGAGAUACCAUAGUGACUUGGCUUUGGGGUGGUUUCUCCGUGGACAAUGCCACCUUAAAUCGUUUUUUUAGUCUCCAUCAUUUACUCCCCCUUAUUUUAGUAGGCGCCAGUCAUCUUCAUCUGGCCGGAUUGCAUCAAUAUGGAUCAAAUAAUCCAUUGGGUGUACAUUCUGAGAUGGAUAAAAUUGCUUCUUACCCUUAUUUUUAUGUAAAGGAUCUUGUAGGUCGGGUAGCUUCUGCUAUCUUUUUUUCCAUUUGGAUUUUUUUUGCUCCUAAUGUUUUGGGGCAUCCCGACAAUUAUAUACCUGCUAAUCCGAUGCCCACCCCGCCUCAUAUUGUGCCGGAAUGGUAUUUCCUACCGAUCCAUGCCAUUCUUCGCAGUAUACCUGACAAAGCGGGAGGUGUAGCCGCAAUAGCACCAGUUUUUAUAUCUCUCUUGGCUUUACCUUUUAAAGAAAUGUAUGUCCGUAGUUCCAGUUUUCGACUGAUUCACCAAGGAAUAUUUUGGUUGCUUUUGGCGGAUUGCUUACUACUAGGUUGGAUCGGAUGUUUUCACGUCUCACCGUAG